UGGGGAAUCUUGCGCAAUGGGCGAAAGCCUGACGCAGCAACGCCGCGUGCGGGACGAAGGCCUUCGGGUUGUAAACCGCUUUCAGCAGGGACGAACAUGACGGUACCUGCAGAAGAAGCCCCGGCCACCUACGUGCCAGCAGCCGCGGUAAUACGGAGGGGGCGAGCGUUGUCCGGAUUUAUUGGGCGUAAAGAGCUCGUAGGCGGUUUGGCAAGUCGGGUGUGAAAACUCCGGGCUCAACUCGGAGACGCCACUCGAUACUGCCAUGACUCGAGUCCGGUAGGGGAGUGCGGAAUUCCUGGUGUAGCGGUGAAAUGCGCAGAUAUCAGGAGGAACACCGGUGGCGAAGGCGGCACUCUGGGCCGGUACUGACGCUGAGGAGCGAAAGCGUGGGGAGCGAAC
rnacentral:rRNA from 1 species